rnacentral:rRNA from 1 species
GAUGAACGCUGGCGGCGUGCCUAAUACAUGCAAGUCGAGCGAACGGACGAGAAGCUUGCUUCUCUGAUGUUAGCGGCGGACGGGUGAGUAACACGUGGAUAACCUACCUAUAAGACUGGGAUAACUUCGGGAAACCGUAGCUAAUACCGGAUAAUAUUUUGAACCGCAUGGUUCAAAAGUGAAAGACGGUCUUGCUGUCACUUAUAGAUGGAUCCGCGCUGCAUUAGCUAGUUGGUAAGGUAACGGCUUACCAAGGCAACGAUGCAUAGCCGACCUGAGAGGGUGAUCGGCCACACUGGAACUGAGACCCGGUCCAGACUCCUACGGGAGGCAGCAGUAGGGAAUCUUCCGCAAUGGGCGAAAGCCUGACGGAGCAACGCCGCGUGAGUGAUGAAGGUCUUCGGAUCGUAAAACUCUGUUAUUAGGGAAGAACAUAUGUGUAAGUAACUGUGCACAUCUUGACGGUACCUAAUCAGAAAGCCACGGCUAACUACGU